CGGGGUGAGUAAUGUCUGGGAAACUGCCCGAUGGAGGGGGAUAACUACUGGAAGCGGUAGCUAAUACCGCAUAACGUCGCAAGACCAAAGAGGGGGACCUUAGGGCCUCUUGCCAUCGGAUGUGCCCAGAUGGGAUUAGCUAGUAGGUGGGGUAAUGGCUCACCUAGGCGACGAUCCCUAGCUGGUCUGAGAGGAUGACCAGCCACACUGGAACUGAGACACGGUCCAG
rnacentral:rRNA from 1 species